UGUCAGCGGUAGAAGUGUCGGACGGGGUGAUAUGCCAGGAUCUGCCUGGGUGGGGGAUGACGACGCUUCACUAGAAAAGGGGACCUUCGGCUUGCUAUCAAUACGUGAUUAGCUAGUUGGUGAGGUAAUGGCUCACCAAGGCGACGAUCCGUAACUGGUCUGAGAGGAUGAUCAGUCACACUGGAACUGAGACACGGUCCAGACUCCCGGGAGGCAGCAGUGGGGAAUAUUGGACAAUGGGCGAAAGCCUGAUCCAGCCAUGCCGCGUGUGUGAAGAAGGUCUUCGGAUUGUAAAGCACUUUAAGUUGGGAGGAAGGGGUUCUAAUACUAUCUUUUUGACGUUACCGACAGAAUAAGCACCGGCUAACUCUGUGCCAGCAGCCGCGGUAAUACAGAGGGUGCAAGCGUUAAUCGGAAUUACUGGGCGUAAAGCGCGCGUAGGUGGUUCGUUAAGUUGGAUGUGAAAUCCCCGGGCUCAACCUGGGAACUGCAUUCAAAACUGACAGCUAGAGUAUGGUAGAGGGUGGUGGAAUUUCCUGUGUAGCGGUGAAAUGCGUAGAUAUAGGAAGGAACACCAGUGGCGAAGCGACCACCUGGACUGAUACUGACACUGAGGUGCGAAAGCGUGGAGCAAACAGGAUUAGAUACCCUGGUAGUCCACGCCGUAAACGAUGUCAACUACCUUGGGACCUUGAGUCUUAGUGGCGCACUACGCAUAAGUUGACGCCUGGGGAGUACGGCCGCAGGUAAAACUCAAAUGAAUUGAGGGGGCCCCACAACGGUGGACAUGUGGUUUAAUUCAACCCAACUUACCCGACUCGUUUCCAAUGAUUGGGCCUUCGGAUUGACUGCAUGGUGUCUCAGCUCGCGUGUAUCCCUACACCCCAACAUGGUUACAGAAUGAC
rnacentral:rRNA from 1 species